rnacentral:tRNA from 1 species
GCCCCCAUCGUCUAACCAGGCAAGGAUGCUGGCCUCUCGAGCCAGAGGUGCGGGUUCAAAUCCCGCUGGGGGCA